GUCAACAAAUACGAUCAAUGUCAAAGAUAUGCUAAUAUCUAACAUCAGCUUGCUGUCGAACUCAUUUUUAUUGCUGCAUCUUGAUCCUUCGCAAUUUGGGAAAUGGAUAUAUUAGGGCCUUUUCUAGUGGCAAUAGGUUAGAAAGUUUUUAGUGGUAGUUAUUGACUACUUUACUAAGUAGGUGGAGGCAAAAUCUUUAGCUUAAAUUACUGAGAAAAAGAUACAAGAUUUUACCCAAAAAUCAAUAAUAUGUCGAUUUGAUUUAUCUCAGAUAAUUAUUACCGAUAAUAGUUGAUAGUUUGACAACUUCAAG
rnacentral:lncRNA from 1 species